CUUAGUGGCGGACGGGUGAGUAACGCGUGGGUAACCUGCCUUGUACUGGGGGACAACAGUUGGAAACGACUGCUAAUACCGCAUAAGCGCACAGCUUCGCAUGAAGCGGUGUGAAAAACUCCGGUGGUACAAGAUGGACCCGCGUCUGAUUAGCUGGUUGGUGAGGUAACGGCCCACCAAGGCGACGAUCAGUAGCCGGCCUGAGAGGGUGAACGGCCACAUUGGGACUGAGACACGGCCCAAACUCCUACGGGAGGCAGCAUG
rnacentral:rRNA from 1 species